rnacentral:rRNA from 1 species
AUUGAACGCUGGCGGCAGGCCUAACACAUGCAAGUCGAACGGUAACAGGAAGCAUCUUGCUGCUUCGCUGACGAGUGGCGUACGGGUGAGUAAUGUCUGGGAAGCUGCCUGAUGGAGGGGGAUAACUACUGGAAACGGUAGCUAAUACCGCAUAAUGUCGCAAGACCAAAGAGGGGGACCUUCGGGCCUCUUGCCAUCGGAUGUGCCCAGAUGGGAUUAGCUUGUUGGUGGGGUAACGGCUCACCAAGGCGACGAUCCCUAGCUGGUCUGAGAGGAUGACCAGCCACACUGGAACUGAGACACGGUCCAGACUCCUACGGGAGGCAGCAGUGGGGAAUAUUGGACAAUGGGCGAAAGCCUGAUGCAGCCAUGCCGCGUGUAUGAAGAAGGCCUUCGGGUUGUAAAGUACUUUCAGCGGGGAGGAAGGGAGUAAAGUUAAUACCUUUGCUCAUUGACGUUACCAGCAGAAGAAGCACCGGCUAACUCCGUG